UUCGGGACUGGGGGCUGUGUUAGGAAAAGCGGGACUGGGGGGGCAGUAUGAAGGCUGUUUAGGGGAAAGAACGUACAGGCCCCUAGCAACCACCUUCCCUCCCAAAAUCUGCAGCUCGCUGACAGCAGUGGGCCCGGUAAUCCAAGUAAAUGCAGCCAAGCCCCCUUAACACCUAAAACCUCCCGAGCGCUGGUAGACUGGGCCGCUCCCGAUGGCGGACACCCCAGGGUGUUGGAAAGUAUGUGGUGCAGUAGUGAGAGAAGCCUCUGUGAAAAACACUGAAGGAACCUCUUAGUCCAAGAAGUUACUCACAGAGGAGUCCUAGACUAUAUCAGAGAAGAUUCAAGAAUGGCUGCAGACAAAGCAGGAGAACAGGGAGUUGAAAAACACAAGGGCUCUGCUGAUUGGUCAAGCAUAUCUGACCUUGAGAAGGAAUUAUCAAGAAGUGCAUUACAAGCAUUUACAGCUGGUAAUUAUGAAGCCUGUCUACAGCAUCUAGGAGAACUUAAAGAAAUCAACAAAGAUGAUUAUAAAGUAAUCCUGAACUCCUGCUGUAGCUGAGUUGUAUAAGAGUGGCCAAACAACUACUGAGCUGUUGAAGCAAACACUUAACCAUUAAGGAAUGAGGUAGGCGUAUUUGUCUGAAAACACCUAAAUCGUCUCCUCAAAGCCCUACAGGACCGUUUACACCACACAGACAAGCAUGUUCAAGGGAAAAUUUCUUUGUGUAUUCUUUGCUGUGCUCAUUGCAAACUCAAUGGCAAAGCCAGGAGGCUUUGCAGAUGAAGAUGGUAUAAACAAACGAGGUGUCCGAAGAUUUCCAACUUUUACUGACACAAAUAGGCUCAUUGAUCUUGUUGAAGAACUUCCAGCCCGUGUGGGUGGAGACAGCACCGUGGACCACUAUGGGAUGCAAAUCACUUGAAAGCCGAAGAUGCCUGAAAUCUUUGCUUGCAAAAAGAAGAUUGCCUUUCACUCAUCACUACAAAUGAACCAUUGGUCUUUCAUUCUUUGUGUUUCUAUUCUAUUCUAUAGGGUCCCGGACUUUCUGCUGCAGAAUCAACAGGAAACCUCAACACGUCAAGGAUACCAAUAGUGCAGACAAGGAUAAGGCGUAGAAUGAAGGCUGGCCUGGCAAGGUUCAGGACAGGCAGCAAGAAUCAGAGGGGCAAAUUCACUAAGAUCCGAAGUUGCACCAGCGACAGCUUCGCUGCACUUCGCAUGGGGUAGUUUCGCCAGCGCUACGCAAAUUCACUAAAAUG